rnacentral:snoRNA from 2 species
CUGCACACCAGUAGACCUUAUCUGGUUCUUCUAAUAGCCAGACGAGGGGGACGGUGCAUGCAAUAAAAACCUGGGGUUGCUGCAGGCUGUCAUCAGCCUUGAUGUGACUGAUUGAACUGCCAUACUCCAACACAG